rnacentral:tRNA from 1 species
GAGAGAGGUCUGCAGCUAAUAGAAACUGCUAAUUUCUAUGAUCACAGUUGGAAUCUGUGACUCACUCG